rnacentral:snRNA from 1 species
CUUGAAUAUGGUAAAGAUGAAGAGCUGUUAGAAAAAUGUGCAAAGCACAAGAGCCAUGACCCCUGCGCAAGGAUGACACGCAAAUUCGUGAAGCAUUCCAUAUUUUA